CCCCGCCUAGCCUCCCGCGCAAUAUGUACAUCGUGUUUGGGAGGGUCAUCCUUUCCCCGAAUACCUCCAAAAUGCCUUGGUGGACCCGUCCAAGAUCUGAUGGUUGCCUCUGAAAAAAUGUUGAGAGGUUGGUACUAAGAAGUGCCUUUCCUGACGUCUCUGCUGCUUGGAAUCGCUUCUAGAGCAGUCUCUGCUUUUGCCUUGCUUGCUGCCAGCUAGACUGCGACGACACCACAUCCACCCUCACCUCUCGCCCAGCCACCCCUCCCCUCUAAGCAUCAGGCAUUGCCCUAGGCUGCUUUAGUUAAUCUUACAGAAAUAAAAGUUUGCUGGAAAAGUGAGCAGUCUUCUGCCAGGAAAAGAAAGGGGGUAAAAAAUCCAAGAGGAAAGGAAAAAAAGAUCCACACCUGUUUCUUGAUUUGUUGCUCUAAACUGCUGUAUCUGUCUGUGCCAAACUAAUCAUUACCAAUUGCACCACACCAAAAAUUAAGAACAAAUAAUUAUUGCAGAUUCAGCUGUGUGUGGAGACAACUUUUCCUGAGAGCAGCUUGAAAAAUUCUGUGUCCGAGGGUCUGCCACUUUUUUUUGCUGCUUGCGUUUGGGGCUCCAAUUCGGCAUUCAGAAUGGGUUACUGAGAGCACAAGGGUAGUUCGAAGGCACACUUUUAAAUGCUCCUCUUACUUUUGAUCCUAGCAUUUCUCUAAGUUUAACUCCCCCCCUC